rnacentral:rRNA from 1 species
GCGGGACACGUGGUAUCCUGUCUGAAUAUGGGGGGACCAUCCUCCAAGGCUAAAUACUCCUGACUGACCGAUAGUGAACCAGUACCGUGAGGGAAAGGCGAAAAGAACCCCGGCGAGGGGAGUGAAAAAGAACCUGAAACCGUGUACGUACAAGCAGUGGGAGCCUCUUAAUGGGGUGACUGCGUACCUUUUGUAUAAUGGGUCAGCGACUUAUAUUCUGUAGCAAGGUUAACCGAAUAGGGGAGCCGAAGGGAAACCGAGUCUUAACUGGGCGUUAAGUUGCAGGGUAUAGACCCGAAACCCGGUGAUCUAGCCAUGGGCAGGUUGAAGGUUGGGUAACACUAACUGGAGGACCGAACCGACUAAUGUUGAAAAAUUAGCGGAUGACUUGUGGCUGGGGGUGAAAGGCCAAUCAAACCGGGAGAUAGCUGGUUCUCCCCGAAAGCUAUUUAGGUAGCGCCUCGUGAAUUCAUCUCCGGGGGUAGAGCACUGUUUCGGCAAGGGGGUCAUCCCGACUUACCAACCCGAUGCAAACUGCGAAUACCGGAGAAUGUUAUCACGGGAGACACACGGCGGGUGCUAACGUCCGUCGUGAAGAGGGAAACAACCCAGACCGCCAGCUAAGGUCCCAAAGUCAUGGUUAAGUGGGAAACGAUGUGGGAAGGCCCAGACAGCCAGGAUGUUGGCUUAGAAGCAGCCAUCAUUUAAAGAAAGCGUAAUAGCUCACUGGUCGAGUCGGCCUGCGCGGAAGAUGUAACGGGGCUAAACCAUGCACCGAAGCUGCGGCAGCGACACUAUGUGUUGUUGGGUAGGGGAGCGUUCUGUAAGCCUGUGAAGGUGGCCUGUGAGGGGUGCUGGAGGUAUCAGAAGUGCGAAUGCUGACAUAAGUAACGAUAAAGCGGGUGAAAAGCCCGCUCGCCGGAAGACCAAGGGUUCCUGUCCAACGUUAAUCGGGGCAGGGUGAGUCGAC